CCUACGGGGGGCAGCAGUGAGGAAUAUUGGUCAAUGGCCGAGAGGCUGAACCAGCCAAGUCGCGUGAGGGAAGACGGCCCUACGGGUUGUAAACCUCUUUUGUCGGGGAGCAAAGCGAGUCACGUGUGACUCAUUGCGAGUACCCGAAGAAAAAGCAUCGGCUAACUCCGUGCCAGCAGCCGCGGUAAUACGGAGGAUGCGAGGGUUAUCCGGAUUUAUUGGGUUAAAGGGGUGCGCAGGCGGAGAGGCAAGUCAGCGGUAAAAUUGCGGGGCUCAACCCCGUACUGCCGUUGAAACUGCAUCCCUUGAGUGCGCGAGAAGUAUGCGGAAUGCGUGGUGUAGCGGUGAAAUGCAUAGAUAUCACGCAGAACUCCGAUUGCGAAGGCAGCAUACCGGCGCGCAACUGACGCUCAUGCACGAAAGCGUGGGUAUCGAACAGGAUUAGAUACCCGGGUAGUC
rnacentral:rRNA from 1 species